UCGCGGCCUAUCAGCUUGUUGGUGAGGUAACGGCUCACCAAGGCGACGACGGGUAGCCGACCUGAGAGGGUGACCGGCCACACUGGGACUGAGACACGGCCCAGACUCCUACGGGAGGCAGCAGUGGGGAAUAUUGCACAAUGGGCGAAAGCCUGAUGCAGCGACGCCGCGUGGAGGAUGACGGCCUUCGGGUUGUAAACUCCUUUCGACAGGGACGAAGCGCAAGUGACGGUACCUGUAGAAGAAGCACCGGCCAACUACGUGCCAGCAGCCGCGGUAAUACGUAGGGUGCGAGCGUUGUCCGGAAUUACUGGGCGUAAAGAGCUUGUAGGCGGUUUGUCGCGCCUUCUGUGAAAACUUGGGGCUCAACCUUAAGCUUGCAGGCGAUACGGGCAGACUAGAGUACUUCAGGGGAGACUGGAAUUCCUGGUGUAGCGGUGAAAUGCGCAGAUAUCAGGAGGAACACCGGUGGCGAAGGCGGGUCUCUGGGAAGUAACUGACGCUGAGAAGCGGAAGCAUGGGUAGCAAACAGGAUUAGAUACCCUGGUAGUCCAUGCCGUAAACGGUGGGUACUAGGUGUGGGUUUCCUUCCACGGGAUCCGUGCCGUAGCUAACGCAUUAAGUACCCUGCCUGGGGAGUACGGCCGCAAGGCUAAAACUCAAAGAAAUUGACGGGGGCCCGCACAAGCGGCGGAGCAUGUGGAUUAAUUCGAUGCAACGCGAAGAACCUUACCUGGGUUUGACAUACACCGGAAACCUGCAGAGAUGUAGGCCCCCUUGUGGUCGGUGUACAGGUGGUGCAUGGCUGUCGUCAGCUCGUGUCGUGAGAUGUUGGGUUAAGUCCCGCAACGAGCGCAACCCUUAUCUUAUGUUGUCAGCGCGUAAUGGCGGGGACUCGUGAGAGACUGCCGGGGUCAACUCGGAGGAAGGUGGGGACGACGUCAAGUCAUCAUGCCCCUUAUGUCCAGGGCUUCACACAUGCUACAAUGGCCGGUACAGAGGGCUGCGAUACCGCGAGGUGGAGCGAAUCCCUUAAAGCCGGUCUCAGUUCGGAUCGGGGUCUGCAACUCGACCCCGUGAAGUUGGAGUCGCUAGUAAUCGCAGAUCAGCAACGCUGCGGUGAAUACGUUCCCGGGCCUUGUACACACCGCCCGUCACGUCAUGAAAGUCGGUAACACCCGAAGCCGGUGGCCUAACCCCUUGUGGGAGGGAGCCGUCGAAGGUGGGGCUGGA
rnacentral:rRNA from 1 species